rnacentral:rRNA from 1 species
UACGUAGGGGGCAAGCGUUGUCCGGAUUUAUUGGGCGUAAAGAGCGUGUAGGCGGCCAGGUAGGUCUGCUGUGAAAACUCGAGGCUUAACCUCGAGCUGUCGGCGGAAACCAUCUGGCUAGAGUCCGGAAGAGGAGAAUGGAAUUCCCGGUGUAGCGGUGAAAUGCGCAGAUAUCGGGAAGAACACCAGUGGCGAAGGCGGUUGCCUGGAGCUUUGCUGACGCUGAUGCGCGAAAGCGUGGGGAGCGAUCCGG